UGCCAGCCGCCGCGGUAAUACGGAGGGUGCGAGCGUCGUUCGGAAUUAUUGGGCGUAAAGGGCGCGCAGGCGGUCUUGUCCGUCAGGUGUGAAAGCUCGGGGCUCAACCCCGGAAGUGCACUUGAAACAGCAAGACUUGAAUACGGGAGAGGAGAGAGGAAUUCCUGGUGUAGAGGUGAAAUUCGUAGAUAUCAGGAGGAACACCGAUGGCGAAGGCAUCUCUCUGGACCGAUACUGACGCUGAGGCGCGAAGGCGUGGGUAGCAAACAGGAUUAGAUA
rnacentral:rRNA from 1 species